AACGAGCACUAACUAAAUGAUUGCUUCACUUUUUUAUAGUGUACCUUGUAAAAUUUUCCAUCAAACAGCCAAACCCGCCUGAAAAAGGAGCACUAACUAAAUGAUUGCUUCACUUUUUUAUAGUGUACCACCUUGUAAAAUUUUCCAUCAUAUAGCCAAACGUACGAGAACAAACCUACCACUAUCCACUAGUUUUAAUGGCUGAAAAGGCAGAUCGCCGAUUGCCCCUUUUUUCUUCUUUCUUAUUAUGAUUUGCAUACUUAAAAUAUAUAUUUUAGCAACAGAAGCUCUCUCUCUAACCCUCAUCACAGCAUGCUUUCCAUUGACCUGGUUUCUCUUCACUUCAGGGCGCCGAGAUUGAAUAUUAGCGGUUGCGCCAGCAAGAGCAAGAACACAUUCUUUUGUAAAAGCAGAGUCUCACUCCGAACCCAUCAAACGCGCUUCCUCAGUUCCCAUUCGUGGUGGUGCUCUGCGACUCUGUCAGUGAUGGCGGAGGAGGAGGAGGAAGAGAAGGAGAGGUUUGAAUUGGAUGGAGAAAGAGCAGGUGCGAUGGUGAAGGAGAUGAGAGAGUGCUUCAACAGGGGAAACACGAAGAGCUACGAGUGGAGAGUCACACAGUUAAAGAGUAUCUCCAAGAUGAUUGAUGAGAAAGAGAAUGACAUCAUUCAAGCUCUUCACAACGACCUCUCCAAACCCCAACAAGAAGCUUUCAUCUCCGAGAUUUCUAUGACUAAAAGCUCUUGUAAAUUAGCGCUUAAAGAAUUGAAACAUUGGAUGAUGCCAGAAAAGGUCAAAACUUCCAUGGCAACUUAUCCAUCAUCAGCAGAAAUUGUAUCAGAACCUCUUGGAGUUGUGUUGGUCAUUUCAACAUGGAACUACCCUUUCUUGUUAUCUCUUGAUCCGGUCAUUGGAGCCAUUGCAGCAGGUAAUGCAGUUGUUCUCAAACCAUCAGAAAUUGCUCCAGCCACAUCAUCAGUGCUUGCAAAAUUAUUAGAGGAGUAUGUGGACAAUACAGCCAUAAGAGUUGUUGAAGGGGCUGUUGCUGAAACAUCUGCUUUACUGGAGCAGAAGUGGGAUAAAAUAUUCUAUACAGGUAGUGGAAGAGUUGGAAGGAUUGUGAUGUCUGCUGCUGCAAAACACCUUACUCCAGUAAGUUUGGAACUUGGAGGGAAGUGUCCUGCUGUUGUAGAUUCAGAUGUUAACAUAGAAGUAGCCGUGAGGAGGAUAAUAGCAGGUAAGUGGGCAUGCAAUUGCGGACAGGCUUGCAUUGCUCCUGACUACUUAAUAACCACGAAAGGUUUUGCUCCAAAGUUGAUAGAGUCUCUAAGAUCAGAACUGAAGGUCUUCUUUGGAGAGGAUACGAUGGAAUCAAAAGACUUAUCUCGUAUUGUGAACUUACACCACUUCAAACGCUUAUCAAGGCUUAUGGAUGAGGAUAAAGUAUCUGAUAAGAUAGUACUUGGAGGGCACAGAAUUGAAAACCAAUUAAAGAUAGCUCCAACCAUCUUUUUGGAUGUUCCAGAAGACUCUCUGAUAAUGGAGGAGGAGAUAUUUGGGCCGUUACUACCCAUUGUCACGGUUGAAAAUUUGGAAGAUAGCUUUGCUGUAAUAAACUCAAGACCAAAGCCUCUUGCCGCAUAUCUUUUUACGAAUAAUGAGGGGCUGAAGAAGGACUUCGUGAAGAACAUUUCUUCUGGAGGAAUGGUUGUCAAUGACACUAUCCUACAAGUCACAGUCUCCACCUUACCUUUUGGAGGAGUUGGGGAGAGUGGGAUGGGUUCAUACCAUGGUAAAUUCUCUUUUGAUGCUUUUAGCCACAAAAAAGCAGUGCUUUACAGAAGUUUUGAAGGAGAUUCAUCGACAAGAUUGAGAUUGUUGGGCCACUUAAAUGUAUAAACUAGCCCCAGAUAAUUUGCUGCAAUACAAUCUCAAAUGUUAUUAACAUUUGAGGGAAAAGAAUCGGGAGUUCCUCGUCCACGCCAAAACAAUCAACUUUUUUAACAUGCUACAGAAAGCAAACUAAGCACCAUGAUUGCAAUCAGUGUGAGACCAAAAUUAGCAACAUUUGCUGUCUGGCUGCUUUUGGCUUCUGGGGGUGGAGCAGCUGCAGCAUUAGGUGGUGCUGCUGCUGCAGUGACAUUGGCUGCAGAGACAUUGGAGACCGGAGGUAGAGGUGGGUCCACAACAUCCUUAACAUCGAGAGCUGGCGCUGGGGCUCCUACAGGUGGCAGUUCUACUCCGUCUGGAACCAUCUGAAAUAUCGCACCAGGUACAACAGGGUAGUCUGUUACGAUCCCAUCAAGGCUGAAAGGUGGCGCAAUGAAUGUUGCCAGCUCUACGAUUGGAUCUGAGAAAAGAUCCAUUGCAAUCCCUGUAAAUUCAUUUCUGAAAACUGAGGAAUACACUGUUAAGUUGGCCUUCCUCAUCUCCUGAACAACGUUAGUAGGAGUGAUGGUGAAAUCAUUGGAAAUUUUAAUGAUGGAGCCUUUGCGGAUGUUAACUGCAUUGGCAAACUUCUUGAUUUCAUCCACUGUCGGCUUUGGUGCAUCACCUACUGUUUCUUCGAUGAGGAAUACUCGUUUGUAAGUUGGGACAUUGCUGAACUUCGAUAGGACUCCACCAUCGUCUGAUUGGAUCAACACUUGUUGGGUGGUUUCCUUGUCAAAAGUAGCAUUGCUCAAAGCAGUGGAAACAGUGUCAAUUAAGUCAAUACCCUUCUUUGAUGCCAAGUAGGCAGCAUUCUGAGAGGGAAAUUAAACAAUACAAGGGAUUGUAGAAGAUUUAGCAAUGAAAGUUGCCUUUGCAGUCGUAGCUGAUGCAAGGUCAGCUGAGCUCGAGCAGAAUGCAACUCCAUCCUUCGACAUCUGUACUGAGCAGUCAAUAAUGUCAGCUCCAUCAUCUACUGCUUUCUGGCCUGGUUGCAUUCUUGUUAUGUGCCAAACAUGCUGAAUGAGAAAGAAAGUUAGAACGCUUUAGUCAGACACAAACUUAAGAUAUAUAUAUACAUAUAUAUAUUGAGAAAGAAUAGUCCAGUUGAGAUUAUCUCACCAAUUGCUUCUGAUGCAGUGGAAGGGUAAUCUGUAAGGAACCCAUCAACAGAGAAUUGGGAAUUAUCAAUAUACUGCAAGUACUCAGCUGUUGGUUCA